GAAUCUUGGACAAUGGGCGAAAGCCUGAUCCAGCCAUGCCGCGUGGAUGAUGAAGGCCCUAGGGUUGUAAAAUCCUUUCGUUGGGGACGAUAAUGACGGUACCCAAAGAAGAAGCUCCGGCUAACUUCGUGCCAGCAGCCGCGGUAAUACGAAGGGGGCGAGCGUUGUGCGGAGUUACUGGGCGUAAAGCGCGUGUAGGCGGGCUGGAAAGUUGGGGGUGAAAUCCCGAGGCUCAACCUCGGAACUGCCUCCAAAACUUCCAGCCUGGACCCAAGUAGAGGCAAGUGGAAUACCGAGUGUAGAGGUGAAAUUCGUAGAUAUUCGGUGGAACACCAGUGGCGAAGGCGACUUGCUGGACUUGUGGUGACGCUGAGACGCGAAAGCGUGGGGAGCAAACAGG
rnacentral:rRNA from 1 species